rnacentral:rRNA from 1 species
UCGAGAAUUUUUCUCAAUGGGGGAAACCCUGAAGGAGCGACGCCGCGUGGAGGAUGAAGGUUUUCGGAUUGUAAACUCCUGUCAUGAGGGAGCAAACUUGCAAGGAGUAACUGCCAUGCAACUGAUAGUACCUCAAGAGGAAGGGACGGCUAACUCUGUGCCAGCAGCCGCGGUAAUACAGAGGUCCCAAGCGUUGUUCGGAUUCAUUGGGCGUAAAGGGUGCGUAGGCGGCGCCAUAAGUCGGAUGUGAAAUCUCGGGGCUCAACCCUGAAACUGCAUUCGAUACUGUGGUGCUAGAGGACUGGAGAGGAGACUGGAAUUCACGGUGUAGCAGUGAAAUGCGUAGAUAUCGUGAGGAAGACCUGUGGCGAAGGCGGGUCUCUGGACAGUUCCUGACGCUGAGGCACGAAGGCCAGGGGAGCAAACGGG